rnacentral:rRNA from 1 species
AACGAACGCUGGCGGCAUGCCUAACACAUGCAAGUCGAACGCUCGUCUUCGGACGGGAGUGGCGCACGGGUGCGUAACGCGGGGGAACCUGCCUUUAGGUUCGGCAUAACUCUCCGAAAGGGGUGAUAAUACCGUAUAAUGUCUUCGGACCACAGAUUUAUCGCCUUUAGAUGGGCCCGCGUUGGAUUAGCCAGUUGGUGAGGUAAUGGCUCACCAAGGCGACGAUCAGUAGCUGGUCUGAGAGGAUGACCACCCACAUUGGGACUGAGACACGGCCCAAACUCCUACGGGAGGCAGCAGUGGGGAAUCUUGCGCAAUGGGCGAAAGCCUGACGCAGCCAUGCCGCGUGGAUGAUGAAGGUCUUAGGAUUGUAAAAUCCUUUCACCGGUGAAGAUAAUGACUGUAGCCGGAGAAGAAGCCCCGGCUAACUUCGUGCCAGCCGCCGCCGUAAAAC